GAUGAACGCUAGCUACAGGCUUAACACAUGCAAGUCGAGGGGCAGCAUGAAGGAAGCUUGCUUCCUUUGAUGGCGACCGGCGCACGGGUGAGUAACGCGUAUCCAACCUUCCCCCUAGCAGGGCAUAGCCCGUAGAAAUGCGGAUUAACACCCUAUGUUGUGUUUUGAGGACAUCUGACGAACACUAAAGGUUUACCGCUAGGGGAUGGGGAUGCGUCCGAUUAGCUUGACGGCGGGGUAACGGCCCACCGUGGCCACGAUCGGUAGGGGUUCUGAGAGGAAGGUCCCCCACACUGGAACUGAGACACGGUCCAGACUCCUACGGGAGGCAGCAGUGAGGAAUAUUGGUCAAUGGGCGGGAGCCUGAACCAGCCAAGUAGCGUGGAGGAUGACGGCCCUACGGGUUGUAAACUCCUUUUAUGCGGGGAUAAAGUGCAGCACGUGUGCUGUUUUGCAGGUACCGCAUGAAUAAGGACCGGCUAAUUCCGUGCCAGCCGCCGCCGUAAUAC
rnacentral:rRNA from 1 species